GCGAUACACAUGAACAAGAUGGCGGAGUUCGAAGGGAGACGAAAAUUGCUAUUUCUUUACGGCAAGUAACCAUAUCUGGAGAUGAUUAUGAAUGAUUUACUCUGCUCCCCCAGUCUUUUUGAUAGCUGUAUUUGCUGGAGGCUCCACUUCAGUGAACAACAUUCAAGAGGCACAUGUGAAAUGUUACAGAUAAGCCAAAUCUUAGAAAAAGAAUGAAGAUGAUGACUGACUUGGUAAGUUGUUUUGACUUAGAAAAUUUUUGCCUUCUUUCUGGAGUUGUAAAAAUGGUCUUAUUGUGCAUGUUGUGUUUAAAAAAUAAAGUUUCACUUUGGACUUAGUGGUUUUCCUGUGUUUUUUAAUGAAUUCCAUCUUUACCCUCUCCACGCCCUUUUUGGACUUGUAAAAAAAAUACCGCCCUGAGGUCCCACCAGCACCAAGUGUCACUACCCCGGUAGACCAGGACCACGCAGUACUUACUGUUCCGACAAGAGCCAUCUUAUGAAACCAUAACCAGGUGUUUGCUCUGAUGGUGAACACUGUCGAUAAGGAUAUCAGACUCUGAACUCUCUACAGACUCAUGAGAGUACCUUGAUGGUAAGCCAGCCUUUGUACUGUGAAGAUCAGUGCAAGUAAGAGACUUAUAAGAUAACCACACCUCACUACCCAUAGGUUUUACUGUACAGCAGUGAUGUAUGUCUUAGAGUGAUGCAAUCAAUAGACUUAAGGCGGUAUUCAGACUUCCUUAAAGUGUAUAUGAUUAUCAACCCUGGUUUGCCAAGACUAACAUGAAGUUUCUAGGCUACUAACUUGUGAAAAAUGAGCUGGUCUAUCCCGAAAAGGAAACUACCACCAUGUAAUUUAAUAUGAAAAGCUAACCUAUGCUCUGUACCCUUCAACAAUUAAUUUAUGUUUCCCUAGAGGACUAAGGUCUAUAAUGUAUUCUUAAUCUGCUAAGGGACUGGGUCUAUAAUUUAUUCAAUUAAGUAUUAAUAUAUUCAGAGUCUGCUAAGGGACUGGGUCUAUAAUUUAUACCAUUAAGUAUUAAUAUAUUCAGAGUCUGCAAAGGGAAUGGGUCUAUAAUUUAUUCCAUUAAGUAUUAAUAUAUUCAGAGUCUGCUAAGGGACUGGGUCUAUAAUUUAUUCCAUUAAGUAUUAAUGUAUUCAGAGUCUGCUAAGGGACUGGGUCUAUAAUUUAUUUCAUUAAGUAUUAAUGUGUUCAGAGUCUGCUAAGGGAAUGGGUCUAUAAUUUAUUCCAGUAAGUGUUAAUGUAUUCAGAGUCUGCUAGGGGGCUGAGCCUAUUUUUCUAUAUUUAUCUCAAGGGAACAGGGAUUAUCAUGUUGCUAUAUCAUAAUGACAUCACAUCACAUUUUUUUAUGGCAAAACCAGGAUUCCGAAUUAAGCUCAAAAAAAUCUUGAAUGUGCAAUCUUUCUCUUCCUAAUGUAAAACCAGCGUUUGCAGGGUUCAUGGGCCUAUAUUCAUGCAAAGCUGUCAUGCUUAUUCUCAGGUCAUUAUGAACCUUUGGUUUAAUGCACAUCAUUUUAUUUUUGAGAACUUGAAUGCAAGGCUUUGUGUUGAGGAAUCAAUCGUUCCAUUCAACAUGCCUGCUGUGUGAGUAAGGCUUACUGCAUGGUGAUGUCAUUACAAAAUAGAACAAGUUUGAAGGUUACUUUAUGAAAAUCAGUGCUGAAGGAGUUGUUCGUAGAAAACUUUAGUUUAGAAAUAACUAGAGUGGAUUUGGUAUUUGGAGCCCAAUGCAUGAUUUAGUUGUACAACCACAUUUUGUUUGGAUCAAGACAUGAACAGAUCAGCAACAUCAACAUGUGUGAGUAACCGUUACUCGAGCUGCAGGGCCGUAACUAGGGGGGAGCACAGGGUGCAUGUGCACUCCACAUAAAAGCUGAAGGUCCGCUCAUCCAUAUCCUUUUUUUUUUGGUUCUGCUUUCUUUGGGUUACCUUUUUUUUUGGUUCUGCUUUGUUAAAAGAAACGAUCAAUCGCCCGAUUUUAUUCGAUGUGCACCCUCCCUGUAAGAGUUCUGGUUACGGCCCUGUGCUGAUAACAAAUCCACUCUAUUAACUUUACAUCAAAGUUUAUUUUAUUUAAUGAUGAGGGAGGAUAGGUAAAGCCUUGGUCUAAUUCUUAGUCUUAGUCAAGUUUAUUAUAAGGAUUUUAGUCUUAUCUUAUUUCCUAAGAUGAGUUUUUUCACCAGCAAAAAACUUCUAAGCAGAAGUAAAUAAGCCAUAAUGAAUGAAAAAAUAAAAUUCAAAUGUGUCUUCGUAAUUUUGAAUUGAAUCGUGAGCAACUACA